rnacentral:tRNA from 1 species
CCCCUGCCUUACCGCUUGGCCCCGCCGCC